AUUGAACGCUGGCGGCAGGCCUAACACAUGCAAGUCGAACGGAAGAACGGUGCUUGCUUGUGGUUUCAGAGGGGGAAGGGCGUGCAAUGCAUGGGAAUAUCCCUGGCUGCGGGUGCUAAUGUCAGCAGAAAGGUGCACUUACCCCAGAAGAGCAGAGGGCGCACGAGGGGGAGCUUUGGAUCUUACGCUCUUUCAUGAGUGUAGGUCGGAUUAGCUAGUUGGUGGGGUAAAGGUCUACCAAGGCGACGAUCCGUAGCUGGUCUGAGAGGCUGAUCAGCCACACUGGAACUGAGACACGGUCCAGACUCCUACGGGAGGCAGCAGUGGGGAAUAUUGGACAAUGGGCGAAAGCCUGAUCCAGCCAUGCCGCGUGUGUGAAGAAGGUCUUCGGAUUGUAAAGCACUUUUAGGGGGGAAGAAAAGCAGUAGGUUAAUACCUUGCUGUUUUGACGUUACCAACAGAAUAAGCACCGGCUAACUUCGUG
rnacentral:rRNA from 1 species